rnacentral:rRNA from 1 species
AGUACAGACGAGUUUGAUCCUGGCUCAGAGCGAACGCUAGCGGCGGGCUUAACACAUGCAAGUCGAGCGGAGAGCUUCGGCUCUCAGCGGCGAACGGGUGAGUAACACGUAGGUCACGUACCCUUUGAUGGGGAAUAACCUAGGGAAACCUGGGCUAAUACCGCAUAUGUCCUUCGGGAUGAAAGCCUUCGGGCGUCAGAGGAUCGGCCUGCGGCCCAUUAUUUAAUCCUAGUUGGUAGGGUAAUGGCCUACCAAGGGUACGAUGGGUAGCUGGUCUGAGAGGAUGAUCAGCCACACUGGAACUGAGACACGGUUCAGACUCCUACGGGAGGCAGCAGUGGGGAAUAUUGGACAAUGGGCGAAAGCCUGAUCCAGCCACGCCGCGUGGGUGAUGAAGGCCUUCGGGUUGUAAAGCCCUGUCGGGAGGGACGAAUCAAUGACGGUACCUCCCAAGAAAGCACCGGCUAACUCCGUG